rnacentral:rRNA from 1 species
AACGAACGCUGGCGGCAGGCUUAACACAUGCCAGUCGAACGGAUCCUUCGGGAUUAGUGGCAGACGGGUGAGUAACGCGUGGGAACGUACCCUUUGCUACGGAAUAACUCAGGGAAACUUGAGCUAAUACCGUAUGUGCCCUACGGGGGAAAGAUUUAUCGGCAAAGGAUCGGCCCGCGUUGGAUUAGCUAGUUGGUGGGGUAAUGGCCUACCAAGGCGACGAUCCAUAGCUGGUCUGAGAGGAUGAUCAGCCACACUGGGACUGAGACACGGCCCAGACUCCUACGGGAGGCAGCAGUGGGGAAUAUUGGGCAAUGGGCGCAAGCCUGAUCCAGCCAUGCCGCGUGAGUGAUGAAGGUCUUAGGAUUGUAAGGCUCUUUCACCGGUGAAGAUAAUGACGGUAGCCGGAGAAGAAGCCCCGGCUAACUUCGUG